GUGGAAAAGAGCCCGCGUUUUUUUCUGGAGUUCAAAUCAAAACAGAAGAGGUCAAGACGAUCGAGGCGGAUACAGACUGCUCGCUGUUAUCCUCAAAAACAUCACCAAGAUCUGUGUUGGACUGUAAUGUUGGCGAACACUUAGGCCUGUGUUAUCAGAGGACUUGCUGACAUGAAGAAAACGGUCCAGAGUUUCCACCUGAGAGCCGGGACUGCCAAAUAGUAAGGUGAGUCCUUUUUUUUUUUUUUUUUUAAGUGUUCAGUGCAGGUUGAGUUACUCAAGCUAUCUGAAUGCCACAAUGGAUAAUUGAGUAUUGAUAAUAUUGAGUGCCUGAUAAUGUUACUAGUGCUGUUUGUUAGGACCGAUUGUGGCUUGCAGCUUUCUGGAGAAAUGCUCCUUCAAAUAACUUCACACUCAGCAUCCUGAACAAUAUACCUGUUAUGACAGUCAUAGUCCUCUAGCAAUGCUAU